rnacentral:rRNA from 1 species
GACGAACCGAGCGAACGUUGUUCGGAAUCACUGGGCUUAAAGGGCGCGUAGGCGGGCGUUCAAGUCAGGGGUGAAAGCCCCCAGCUCAACUGGGGAAGUGCCUCUGAUACUGGGCGUCUCGAGGGGGAUAGGGGCGUGCGGAACUUCCGGUGGAGCGGUGAAAUGCGUAGAUAUCGGAAGGAACAUCGGUGGCGAAAGCGGCGCGCUGGGUCCCUUCUGACGCUGAGGCGCGAAAGCCAGGGGAGCGAACAGG